GGAGAGAUGGUAGAGUGGUCGAUUACAACGGUCUUGAAAACCGUCGUGCAGAGAUGCACCGGGGGUUCGAAUCCCUCUCUCUCCGC
rnacentral:tRNA from 1 species